UGUCAGCUGUGUGUUUCCUGGAACUGACCGUCUGCCGCAAGGCCACAGAUAAAGCUUGUUUAUGGAAAAACAAAAUAUGAAAAAAAAAAAAAAAGACCCUGCUCUUUGGGGUUUAUACUCCCACACAUACUUGAGUGGGAGAGAGGACAGUGUUCCAGGACCCUUCCCUCUGGUAAUGAAAGGCAGAACUGCUUUCACUCCAUGCGGGGAUGGAUGCACCAGGGCUCAGACAACUCGUCAGCGGCUUUUCUCACUGCCGGACCUGACACCUGCCGGAUGCAGUGUGAGCAAAGACGCCUUUGCUUGGCUGAUGGUGUAAGGGACUCCAGACCAUCAUGGCAGGGAACACGUGGUGAUAUGAGGGGACAUUCCCUGUCAUCCUGUCGUCGUCAACAGCCAGGACGCAGUGACGAAUGCUGGCCCUCAGAGCUUGGAGGACAAUGGAAGGAAGCCGUGAAGAGCUAGCUGCUGGGACCACAGCACAGACCCUUCAGUCUGUUCUGAGAGGAUUUCUUCUCAUUUUUACAGUGCUGGCCUAAGGGUUGAUGGAAAUAAAUACUUAAAAUCUG